GGUGUGAUGGCCGAGUGGUUAAGGCGUGAGACUUGAACUAUUAUAUCUCAUGGAUUAGUCCGCGUAGGUUCGAACCCUGCUCACAUCG
rfam:Coniochaeta ligniaria NRRL 30616 unplaced genomic scaffold CONLIGscaffold_1, whole genome shotgun sequence.